rnacentral:tRNA from 1 species
GGUAAUAUACUUUAAAUAAAAGAUUCGGUUUGCAAUUGAAAAAUAAGAUAAUUGAUCUUUAGUGCCA